GAUGAACGCUGGCGGCGUGCCUAAUACAUGCAAGUCGAGCGAACAGAUGAGGAGCUUGCUCCUCUGACGUUAGCGGCGGACGGGUGAGUAACACGUGGAUAACCUACCUAUAAGACUGGGAUAACUUCUGGAAACCGGAGCUAAUACCGGAUAAUAUCUUGAACCGCAUGGUUCAAUAGUGAAAGACGGUUUUGCUGUCACUUAUAGAUGGAUCCGCGCCGCAUUAGCUAGUUGGUAAGGUAACGGCUUACCAAGGCAACGAUGCGUAGCCGACCUGAGAGGGUGAUCGGCCACACUGGAACUGAGACACGGUCCAGACUCCUACGGGAGGCAGCAGUAGGGAAUCUUCCGCAAUGGGCGAAAGCCUGACGGAGCAACGCCGCGUGAGUGAUGAAGGUCUUCGGAUCGUAAAACUCUGUUAUUAGGGAAGAACAAAUGUGUAAGUAACUAUGCACGUCUUGACGGUACCUAAUCAGAAAGCCACGGCUAGCUACGUG
rnacentral:rRNA from 1 species